GGUACCUUGACCGAGCGGCUAGGUAUCGGUCUGCAAAACCGAGUACGGCGGUUCGAGUCCGCCAGGUACCUCCA
rnacentral:tRNA from 1 species